rnacentral:tRNA from 1 species
GCCAAUUUAGCUCAGCCGGCAGAGCAGCGGUUUUGUAAACCGCAGGUCCAGGGUUCGAAUCCCUGAGUUGGCU